UUAUACGGGAAGAAAUGCGCCCACGUGUGGGCGUCUGACGGUACCGUAAGAAUAAGGACCGGCUAACUCCGUGCCAGCAGCCGCGGUAAUACGGAGGGUCCGAGCGUUAUCCGGAAUCAUUGGGUUUAAAGGGUCCGUAGGCGGGCCUGUAAGUCAGGGGUGAAAGUUUGUGGCUCAACCAUAAAAUUGCCUUUGAUACUGCAGGUCUUGAGUCAUGGUGGGGUCGCCGGAACAUGUGGUGUAGCGGUGAAAUGCAUAGAUAUCACAUAGAACACCGAUCGCGAAGGCAGGUGGCCAACCAUGUACUGACGCUGAUGGACGAAAGCGUGGGUAGCGAACGGGAUUAGAUACCCCGGUAGUCCACGCCGUAAACGAUGGAUACUAGCUGUGGGGACUUCGGUCUCCGUGGCCAAGCGAAAGUGAUAAGUAUCCCACCUGGGGAGUACGUUCGCAAGAAUGAAACUCAAAGGAAUUGACGGGGGCCCGCACAAGCGGUGGAGCAUGUGGUUUAAUUCGAUGAUACGCGAGGAACCUUACCAGGGCUUAAAUGCAGGCUGCAUGGGGUAGAGAUACCCCUUUCUUCGGACCGCCUGCAAGGUGCUGCAUGGUUGUCGUCAGCUCGUGCCGUGAGGUGUCAGGUUAAGUCCUAUAACGAGCGCAACCCCUACCGUUAGUUGCCAGCAUGUCAAGAUGGGGACUCUAACGGGACUGCCGGUGCAAACCGUGAGGAAAGGUGGGGACGACGUCAAAUCAUCACGGCCCUUACGUCCUGGGCUACACACGUGCUACAAUGGCCGGUACAGAGGGAAGCCACCCCGCAAGGGGGCGCGGAUCUACAAA
rnacentral:rRNA from 1 species